UACUUUUGCAGCCUUGAUUAUCAAAACGGUAAUCAGUACAUAAAAAUCAUUUUAAUAAUAUUGGCAUG
rnacentral:ncRNA from 1 species